AUCAGCGGAAAUACUAUCAAUUCACUCUCAAUCGAAAUUCUAGGGAGCAUUGUCGGUCGUUUUCUUCCAAUUUAUUUGUCUCGUCUAUUCACUGAAUCACGGAAACAAACAUUUGGGAUCAAUAUUAUGAUUUAUAGUAAAGUUUUUGGAGUAUAAGGAAAAGUUUGGAUAUCUAUUCAGUCAACGCCCCUUUAAACCCAAACAGACUAAACUAGAUGUGGUUCGACACGCAUAGAAGCCAAAUGGACUUCAUACCAUAUACGCGACAAAGAAAAAAUGUUUAAUCUUUUGUGGCUAACACAUGUGCUGGGUGCCGUGACACGAAUAUUAAAAUCAAACAGGCUCAACAAACAAUCUGGCUGCCGGUUUUAAGAUGCUGAGAUCCCUAUCCAAAUAUGGACUUUAGUUUUAAGGUUCUCACGAAGAGUGAAAGAUAAUAAUGUAUGGCUAACAAGAAUUUACUUGAAACACAGUAAGAGGUCGACUUUUCUAUUUUUUAUUAAUGCGAUAAUAAAAGAACAUUUUACCAAAAUCAAUUCAAUACUAAUUAAUAAUUUUCGACAGCAUUUGGUGUUUGACGUAUUUCCGUUUCCAUGCGGAUUUUUGUUGCCUCCAGUUAAUUCAUACAAUUAUCUGUUUCUAUCAUUUGAUUCAAAAUCCACUAGAUUAUUUAUUCUUUUUUAAAUUAAGUGCGCGAAAAACAACCUCCUGUCAAAAAUAAAAGAUGAAGCGUUUGCGAAAGUACUAUUUAUUUGAAUCCAGAAGUUGUCUUUGAUUGGAAUGACAAAGGCAUGACAUUCAUAAUUGUAAACUGUCAGACCCAAGAAAUGACACAAGAAUCAAUACCACACCCUCCAAGCUGCGACCACCACGACGUCACAUCCGGAAACAAAAGUGGCUGUCUGUUUUAUAUUCAUCCUGUAAGCUAUUCAGUAUAAGGGAGUCAGUCACCUUAAACAAAGAAAUAAUACUCUAGGGAAUAACACGUGGUUUGAAAAAAAACAGUGGAUUAGGUCUAUUCUCAAUCUAAGUCUCAUUUAUAUGAAGCAUUAUCCCUUUCAGUGUUAAAUCUCUGCUGCAACUUCAAAUUAUUUGGAGUGUACUGUCCAGCUAUGAGAUGAUCUUUACCCUAUAGAUGAAAUCUUAAUCCUUUAGACCUCUCAUCUCUUGUUACAACCUUGUAAGAAACUAAUGUAACCCUUAACAAUGAUUUAAUACUAAAGGAAAACUUAGGUAUCAAGGAAUUCUAUUCUGAUUCUAUGAUUAUUCUACUUAUACAAGUAAUAUACAAUGAACCUCUCAGAUAACAUUUUAAACUAUGUGGAGUCACUAUGAUUACUUUCAGAGGCCAUGCGACGAUAACUACUGCCUCUUACGAAGAGUUGACAUCUUGAAAUGCUAAUGUCCUUUUUAAAGGAAACAAAGUUACUGCAAUUUUCUUAAACAUGCAAACUCUGUGUCUGCAAGCUGCACGCUGAAAUUGGUUUGUCAAUCAAACCUAAUCAGUCAGUACCUUUCGUAUUUUUGACUGACUGCAGCGAAAAAACAAAAUUUCAGUGUGCAGCUCAGAGACACAGAGUUCACAUGUUUAUGAAAAUUGCAGCAACCUAGCUAGUGUAGUUCUAGUCCUAGGGAUAAUUGUUUUGCUUUUGGUUUUCCAUGAGGAAGGUAAACAAAAAAAAAACUAGGAUUACAAGAGUGGAUCCAAGAGGGUAAACUGGGUGACUAGUCACCUCCCUUUGAAAUAAAAAGGUAAGACCUAAAAAGAAUGCUAUAUGAUGUAUUUCUAGCUAACAGUUACCCCCUGUGAAAUAGGUUGGACCUGCCACUAGAUUACCCUACCUUCAUGUAAACAGGGCCUUAGAAUCGGACCAUAUUUGUUCUUCACAUGUAUAAAUUACUACUAAGUAGCUGACUUUCCUUCAUUUUCUAUUUUAAAUCUUCCAAGAUUUAGAUAGUCUUUGUACUUGGCUGAUACUAGUUGGUGUAGAAACUGAACUUGAUCAGGAUCACUGCAGCCAUGGUCAAUCAUGGAUCGACAGGAGGCAACAGUUCUAGCAGCAGACCCAACAAGGUUCUUAUUAAAUCAGAAUACCCAGCCAUAAUAUUGGGACGUGAAGUAUUUGGGUUAAACUGUCUGCUGCAACCUAAAUAAUGAAAGAAUGCUUGAAAGAUGGUUGGAUUAUAGUACAAUUUUAACAUUUACACAGAAGUAYUUGACUGUGGUUAUAAUGUUAGGAUAAUCUCAACAUAGACUAGAAUAUUAUAACACACCACCUUUCAAUAUCAGCUGUUAAUGAGCCCUCAAUUGUUGUCAUUAGGUUCUUACAAAUAAUGGUCACUGUUGAUAAAAAUGAAUAAAUAAAAAAUA